CAGCUGCGAGACUUGGUGUGAAUUGCAGGACACAUUGAGCGCUGAUUUUUCGAACGCACAUUGCGGCCUCGGUUUCUACCCGGGGCCUCGCCUGUCUGAGGGUCGG
rnacentral:rRNA from 51 species